CCUACGGGAGGCAGCAGUGAGGAAUAUUGCUCAAUGGGGGCGACCCUGAAGCAGCCACGCCGCGUGGAGGAUGAAUGUUCUCGGAUUUUUAACUCCUUUUGUUAAAGAAGAUAAUUAAGGUAUCUAACGCAUAAGCACCGGCUAACUCCGUUCCAGCAGCCGUGGUAAUACGGAGGCUGCAAGCGUUACUCGGAAUCACUGGGCGUAAAGAGAGCGUAGGUGGGAUAGCAAGUCAGAUGUGAAAUUCUAUGGCUUAACCAUAGAAUUGCAUUUGCAACUGUGAGUCUAGAGUAUGGGAGAGGUAGGUGGAAUUCUUGGUGUAGGGGUAAAAUGCGUAGAGAUCAAGAGGAAUACUCAUUGCGAAGGCGACCUGCUAGAA
rnacentral:rRNA from 1 species